rnacentral:rRNA from 1 species
AACGAACGCUGGCGGCGUGCCUAACACAUGCAAGUCGUGCGAGAAAGUUCCUUCGGGAGCGAGUAAAGCGGCGCACGGGUGAGUAACACGUAGGUAACCUGCCCCCCAGUCUGGAACAACUAGAGGAAACUCUAGCUAAUGCCGGAUGAGACCACGAUCCCUUCGGGGGUUGCGGCCAAAGAUGGCCUCUACUUGUAAGCUAUCGCUGAGGGAUGGGCCUGCGGGCCAUUAGCUUGUUGGUGAGGUAACGGCUCACCAAGGCUGUGAUGGCUAGCUGGUCUGAGAGGAUGACCAGCCACACUGGGACUGAGACACGGCCCAGACUCCUACGGGAGGCAGCAGUGAGGAAUAUUGCGCAAUGGACGAAAGUCUGACGCAGCGACGCCGCGUGGGGGAUGAAGGUCUUCGGAUUGUAAACCCUUUCGGGAGGGAAGAUGGAGUGGGUAA